UGCAAAUGUUAUCACAAAAUUAAUAAAAAUCAUGUAUUCUGUAAACAUUUUUCAUAACUUGAAUUAUAACUUGUUUUGAAUAUCCAAUUAAUAUAUUUUCAAGUGAUAACGAUAAUACCUAGUUGUUGUCUUGUUAUUAAAGGCUAGGUACUAAAAAAUUAGAUAACACUUCGAUGGGUCAUAGCAAUAAAAUAGUUAUACUUAAUUUAUCUUUAAAUUGUUAUUCAAUCUUGCAAAUGACUUUAAUUUCACCUGUAGAAUGUGAACAAAGUACCUACUGCCUACUAUUUAAUAACGCUAGCCACUCACCAUCCAAUAAACCACGUGCCUGGAGCGCUUGUUGGUCACGAUCUGCAUGACGUCAUGCACAUCGCGACCAAUACACGAUCAGUUUUAACCGGAUGUCAAGUCGCUAGCGCUGCAGGCAUGUGGAGUUAUUGGAUGUUGAGUGGCUAGCAUAACGUUUGAUUUUGAUUUCAGUUAAUGUUAAAUGACAAUCUCAACACUUUCAUUACCGCUACGAUUUUCACGAUGUUUUCUCGGGAGCCGCCUACAUUUUACGUUGGACUCGCUAGGUGAGUCGACGGCGCUGCGAUACGAAUCAUUCGACUCGCCACGCGAGUUCAGUGGCAUUGCGUUAGGGUAAAAACUAUGUUCUGUUAUUUUUGUGGCCGUGACAGUGUACGUUACGUGUUUAAAGCAAUUAACUAGUAUAUGGUGUAAUUUAACAAAAAGAAAAUGGCAAGAAACACUAUAAAUAAACGAAAAGGCCACCACAAAACACAAUAACAUAGAACACAAGAAUCUCAAAGUCCAGAAAACGUUUGCCAGGGGUUAAAACAGUAGGUACUCCAACAGGUCCAGUAAUCGAAAGCCAAGUCACAAUGAUAGAAAACAAAUAUACGCGUGCGAUAAGGAAAGGGUCGUGCUUAACACUAAUCUAUAUAUAAAGAAAGUCGGGUUUGUUACAACACUUCACUCGAGAUUGACCAAUGAGAGCUUGGCAAAAACAAUGUUAUCAGUGCUUUUAUUGCUUACUAACCAGAGCGUUCAUGUUAAAAAAUACCGGUUCCUUUUGUUUUGCCGGCAAUUUUUAACAAUGCGAAGGGAUCCUCUUUCAGUUGUAACUCUUAAAGUAAUAGACCGAGAGUUGAGUUUGUGUUUUCUGCACCGUUCGUUUAACAAAAACGCAAGGACAGACUCAAAAACUUAGAAGUACCCAUUUGGUGAACACCAAAUUCGAGCCCCUACAAGGUGUCGAACACAAUCCGCCGUUGUUUUACGAGUGAAUGUGACUUUUGGUAAAAUGAAAAUAAAAGUAUCUACCUUUUA